rnacentral:rRNA from 1 species
CCUACGGGGUGCAGCAGUGGGGAAUAUUGCACAAUGGGGGAAACCCUGAUGCAGCGACGCCGCGUGAGUGAAGAAGUAUCUCGGUAUGUAAAGCUCUAUCAGCAGGGAAGAAAAUGACGGUACCUGACUAAGAAGCCCCGGCUAACUACGUGCCAGCAGCCGCGGGAAUACGUAGGGGGCAAGCGUUAUCCGGAUUUACUGGGUGUAAAGGGGGCGUAGGCGGCGCUGCAAGUCCGGAGUGAAAGCCCAGGGCUUAACCACGGUACUGCUCUGGAAACUGUGGAGCUUGAGUGCGGGAGGGGCAGGCGGAAUUCCUAGUGUAGCGGUGAAAUGCGUAGAUAUUAGGAGGAACACCGGCGGCGAAGGCGGCCUGCUGGACCGUAACUGACGUUGAGGCUCGAAAGCGUGGGGAGCAAACAGGAUUAGAUACCCCUGUAGUC